rnacentral:rRNA from 1 species
GUGGGGAAUUUUGGACAAUGGGCGCAAGCCUGAUCCAGCAAUGCCGCGUGCAGGAAGAAGGCCUUCGGGUUGUAAACUGCUUUUGUACGGAACGAAAAGGCUCUGGCUAAUACCUGGAGCUCAUGACGGUACCGUAAGAAUAAGCACCGGCUAACUACGUGCCAGCAGCCGCGGUAAUACGUAGGGUGCGAGCGUUAAUCGGAAUUACUGGGCGUAAAGCGUGCGCAGGCGGUGCUGUAAGACAGGCGUGAAAUCCCCGGGCUCAACCUGGGAAUUGCGCUUGUGACUGCAGCGCUGGAGUGCGGCAGAGGGGGAUGGAAUUCCGCGUGUAGCAGUGAAAUGCGUAGAUAUGCGGAGGAACACCGAUGGCGAAGGCAAUCCCCUGGGCCUACACUGACGCUCAUGCACGAAAGCGUGGGGAGCAAACAGGAUUAGAUACCCUUGUAGUCC